rnacentral:rRNA from 1 species
AACGAACGCUGGCGGCAUGCCUAACACAUGCAAGUCGAACGAGAUCUUCGGGUCUAGUGGCGCACGGGUGCGUAACGCGUGGGAAUCUGCCCUUUGGUUCGGAAUAACAGUUGGAAACGACUGCUAAUACCGGAUGAUGACGAAAGUCCAAAGAUUUAUCGCCAGAGGAUGAGCCCGCGUAGGAUUAGCUAGUUGGUGUGGUAAAGGCGCACCAAGGCGACGAUCCUUAGCUGGUCUGAGAGGAUGAUCAGCCACACUGGGACUGAGACACGGCCCAGACUCCUACGGGAGGCAGCAGUGGGGAAUAUUGGACAAUGGGCGAAAGCCUGAUCCAGCAAUGCCGCGUGAGUGGUGAAGGCCUUAGGGUUGUAAAGCUCUUUUACCCGGGAUGAUAAUGACAGUACCGGGAGAAUAAGCUCCGGCUAACUCCGUGCCAGCAGCCGCCGCAG